rnacentral:tRNA from 1 species
GAGGGGAUAGCUCAGUGGUAGACUGCGUGCUUAGCACGCAUGAGGUCCUGGGCUCAAUCCCCAGUACUACCA